rnacentral:rRNA from 1 species
AUUAAACGCUGGCGGCAUGCCUUACACAUGCAAGUCGAACGGCAGCGGACCUUCGGGUGCCGGCGAGUGGCGAACGGGUGAGUAAUGCAUCGGAACGUGCCAUUGAGUGGGGGGAUAACGUAGCGAAAGUUACGCUAAUACCGCAUAUUCUGUGAGCAGGAAAGCAGGGGAUCGCAAGACCUUGCGCUGAUUGAGCGGCCGAUGUCAGAUUAGCUAGUUGGUGAGGUAAAGGCUCACCAAGGCGACGAUCUGUAGCGGGUCUGAGAGGAUGAUCCGCCACACUGGAACUGAGACACGGUCCAGACUCCUACGGGAGGCAGCAGUGGGGAAUUUUGGACAAUGGGGGCAACCCUGAUCCAGCCAUGCCGCGUGAGUGAAGAAGG